AUACGUAGGGGGCGAGCGUUGUCCGGAAUUACUGGGCGUAAAGGGAGUGUAGGCGGUCUUUUAAGUUGGAUGUGAAAUCCCCGGGCUUAACUUGGGGGGUGCAUUCAAAACUGGGGGACUAGAGUACAGGAGAGGGAAGCGGAAUUCCUAGUGUAGCGGUGAAAUGCGUAGAUAUUAGGAGGAACACCGGUGGCGAAGGCGGCUUUCUGGACUGACACUGACGCUGAGGCUCGAAAGCGUGGGGAGCAAACAGGAUUAGAUACCCUGGUAGUCCACGCUGUAAACGAUGAAUACUAGGUGUAGGGGGUAUGAACUCCCUCUGUGCCGCAGCAAACGCAAUAAGUAUUCCGCCUGGGGAGUACGGCCGCAAGGUUGAA
rnacentral:rRNA from 1 species